GACUUUGCAGGACAAUUUCGAGAUAUGGC
rnacentral:piRNA from 1 species